UACGGAGGGUGCAAGCGUUGUCCGGAAUCACUGGGCGUAAAGGGCGCGUAGGCGGCUCAUGAAGGCUGUGGUGAAAGUCCGGGGCUCAACCUCGGAUCGGCCGUGGCGACUCGUGGGCUGGAGCACUGUAGAGGCGGGUGGAAUUCCGGGUGUAGCGGUGGAAUGCGUAGAGAUCCGGAAGAAUACCAGUGGCGAAGGCGGCCCGCUGGGCAGUGGCUGACGCUGAGGCGCGACAGCGUGGGGAGCAAACAGG
rnacentral:rRNA from 1 species